rnacentral:rRNA from 1 species
ACGGAAGGCAGCAGUGGGGAAUAUUGCACAAUGGGGGAAACCCUGAACCAGCCAUCUCGCGUGAAGGAAUACGGCCCUACGGGUCUUAAACUUCUUUUAUAGGGGGAUAAAGUGAGGCAUGCAUGCCUUUUUGUAGGUACCCUAUGAAUAAGCAUCGGCUAACUCCGUGCCAGCAGCCGCGGUAAUACGGAGGAUGCGAGCGUUAUCCGGAUUUAUCGGGUUUAAAGGGUGCGCAGGCGGCACGUUAAGUCAGCGGUGAAAUGUCGGGGCUCAACCCGGGCACUGCCGUUGAAACUGGCGAGCUUGAGUACGGAUGAAGUUGGCGGAAUGUGAUGUGUAGCGGUGAAAUGCUUAGAUAUGUCACAGAACACCGAUUGCGAAGGCAGCUGACUAAUCCGCAACUGACGCUCAGGCACGAAAGCGUGGGGAUCGAACAGGAUUAGAUACCCUGGUA